CUGACUGUGCUUCACAGGAUCAUUUCUGUAGGCAAGUUUUUACCACACGUUUUUUCCGACAGGGAAAGAUAUCCCACCCCACACCAUCAUCGUGAUGUUCUAUCUUUUAUAGAUGGAUCUCCUUGCCUUUGAAGAUCGGCUCUCUUGCAAGACUAGGUCGCGUUCUGAGUGGU